AUAUUUAAACUAAAACCUAAUAUCAACAUAGUUUUAUUACCGAAAUAUUCGAAUCAACCAUCGGGGCGUGGUUGCUAUUGCGACUAGGAUUACACAGAGGUUGAAACGUUAAAAAGACCGUGUUUUACUUAUAUCUUACCUUUCUGUUAUCGAUAGGGGAAAUAACCACUUGGACAUGUUCGUCUUAUUACGAAGUGUAUAGUUUAAGUGAACUAAUUGUGAUAUUAUUAUUAACUAUUUUUCUCAAAUUGUGUCAUUUAUGGGGAUUCCCCUCAUGGGGUUGAACUUGUUUAUUGAGAAGUAUAAAUGACGGAUGCAUCGUUCAAAAUGCAUGGCGGAUUGCAGACUGAUUGAUGUUCAGGACGACAUCUGAAAACUCUUGAUACAGCUAGCUGCUUGGCGGUCCACAUGUCAUAUCAGUACAAGUCACGUACGAUACUCCAGUUUGCAAACAUUCCGCGCCGGAGAACAACCUUACUGAUUGGUCUCGGACACGCACUGUAUCGAUGGCUAAAAGUGACUCGAGACUUGCUGAACCAAAAGGAUUCCAUAGACAGGGCAGUGUCAGCCAACAAGACCUGAUACAGUGGGGAAAUGCCUCCGUUGAGACAUGCACUCUGAUAAGCUUGCUCGGAUACGGACCGGAGAUCAUACAGGCAAGGAGAGACGCAUACAUUGAGUGGGGCAGGCUUACGACUACACGGUCAUGUGGUGCGGCAACGUUGAUUGUUACGGGUAGCAAGGCUAAGGGGCUGAGCAACUAUCUGGAAAGUGAUUUUGAUGCAAUGCUUGUACUUAAAAGAGUGAUCUGUUUAGAUGAUGAUGUCAAUGCAAGUACCUUUCCUGGGGAGAUAACUGUGUUGAGAUCACUCAGCCGCAUGAGCUACCAUGGACACUGUGGACUGCUAUUGGAGAGACGUGGUAAAACAAUUAUCAGGCAAGUAAAUCAUGCGUUUUGUGAUGACGGAUAUGGUCGCGAACUUUUGAGCAGUGACUUGUUUGUUACUAACUGGUCGAACGAUACCUUGACGGAGGGCAUGGUGCGUCAUGAGCGUGCGGGACCGUCAAGGCCUAGUACAUUGCAGGGAAACUUGCACAAUGACUUAGUUCAUGCAUUACGUUACUACUGUCCCAACAUCCUGUCAAAAUGGGCCGCAAGACCUCGACACUGACCACCACCGGAAGACGUUCAGCAGUUGGUAUCACUUUGGGCAGUUCUUUGAUUUAAAGGAAGUGAAUAUCAACAUGUUGAAUGGAGAGUGUGCUUUAAUGCCGGUGAGAUCGAACUAGUUAACAAUCCUUAUGGCACUCAAAUUAAAUUGUAUGUUUUGAAAAUGAUAAAGAACGAUGUUCUACAUCCACGCAAGAAAGAAGUUUCAUCGUACACAUUGAAAAACAUCGUUUUAUGGAUGGCAGAAAAUAAUCCUCAAGCCUCCUAUCAUAAUAAAGUAUUUUGCACUGGUUGCUUGAAUUAUUGUAUGCGCUAAGAGUUGCAUUGAUCACCAUAGAGCUACCAUACUAUAUGAUUCCAGAAAGAAAUUUGAUGGCAACCUCUGGACUGGAUAAGAAACAGCAACGUACAUGGAUAUCAACAAUACAGAAAUGAUUAAUGAAGGACCGAGAAUGAUACUAAGACUUCAAAAGAUACGACAAGCUCGUAUUGCUCAUCCUGAACCAUUACUGUGGAACAGCAGGAGGAGAAUUGAGCUGGAGUUGCUGCAGCUCAUGCACAUUUAUGGAAGGUAGUCGAUUUAACAACGCACGGGAUGUUUUAAAUAUGAUGUUGUUGUAUUACGGAUAACACUCGCUUAUACUGCGAUAACGUUCAUCGUUCAAAUUGUCAAAGCGAAUUGUUGAGCAGAUUGUGAUAUUUUAAUGACUUUACUAUUCAGGCAAUACAUGAACUCGUAAAUGUGAUUGCGAGGCGGGUUCGCUGAGGGUGAUUAUAUAAGGGGGUGAGUUUACAACCUGAAUGAUGUUGUGGUAUUUUUUGUAUAUAAUCGUAGAAAAAAUAAAUACUAGUAUAUUGCUAAGGGAAACCAUAUCGCGGUAUGCAUUUGUUUCAAACUGAAAGUAAUUACUAGCUUUGUGUCUACAUAUGUAAUCGUGUGAGUUAUGUUUAUAUCUUGUGAUUUGAUAUAUUGUAAGAUGAAGUAUCUAUAAUUUCAAACGAAUUAUUAUUGGUGUUGUGUAUGUAUAUGUAUAAAUUGAACAUCAGUCGAGUGAUAAUAUUGUAUUAUUAUGAUCGCAGCAAAUUUGUCAAUAGCAUUCUUGUGUUCUGCCUGAGAAUAAAACUGAUAUUGUAUUCUGCAUUUUUGUCGGAAGCGUAUUGAACACAUUCUUGUUGCAAUUAUGAAUACAAAUAUUUGCAUUUUUGUAGUAUGCUGCCUCGUUAAUUAUUUAUGUCACUAUUACAUGUAUAUAACAUUUCACAGAUAUAAACAACUUUUUUUUUGCUAUCGCCUUUGAUUAAAUUGUGAAACGUAUAUUGUAUAUGUGUUAAUAUAUUUAUUAAUAUCGUGUCUAUAUUGUGUUUAUUCACAUAAUGAAUAAUUGUAUCAACUUAUUGAUGGCGUUUGUGCCACUUUCGGUAAUUAUAUACUGAUAUAAUUUUGUCCCUGUAUAUGUAUUCCAUACAUUUAAAAAUGCAGUUAUGUUGAUAUUUCAUCGAUGUGUUAAAUGAUAUUUUGAAUGACUUAUGUCGCCCAGAUGUUAUUUGUUCAUAAUGCUUAUAAUGAUUACAUACGUUUUUGUUGUUGCAUUGUAUGUACAAGUUGUGUUACUGCAUUGAUGAUGUUAAUAUUGGUUGAUGAAGUUUUGCUAUUGAUGAAAGCGGUUGUGUUUGCUGAUGUGUUUUAUGUAGCGGUUGUGGAAAUAGCGCUAUUGGUUAUGUCUAUGCCGACACUGCUGAUGCUAUUGCUUAUAGUAAUACAAUUUUCGAGUUAAAAUUGCGUCGUCAUUUCCUUGUGUGAAAUCAUUUCGCUUUGUGCAUUGAUAUUUUUAGCGAACUUGUUUGUUUUUUUCCGAUGCAAAGGUAGUAUUUCGCCUGUUUAUUAAAACUCAAACUUAACCAGUUUAUUAUAACAACAAGUGUGCAAUAAGCAUACAACGCUUUUGCUAAACUGUGCAUUUGAAUUAUUCGGAACCAUCAGGUUUGUUUGUACUUGUGCUAUAAUGACGUUCUGGCGUAAAGUGUCAUUCUGGCUUGACCUAACUUUAUUUAUAAAAUCUGAAAUAUAUGUUUUGCGUAUUUUUUCUUUUGUUUUAAAAUCAGAUUUCGUGCUUUUUCCGCUAACUUUUUGCCUAUUUGCAAGUAAUCACGCCUCGCUUAAAAUGGUCGUUGUUGCGAGUCAUGCAUUUUUAUAAUCGCACGUCUUAGCAUUAUGUUAAUUUAUUACCUUUUUUUUGUUUAUACUUUAGUGAUACGCCGGAUUUUGGUGGGUGCAUUUUCUGUUUGUAUGUUUAUUCAUUAAUAUAAAUGCGUUGUUUUUUUGCAAAUUUGCGUAAAAUUCAUUACUAGGUUGACUAUCAAAAUUAUACUGCAUUCGAUAUAUAUUACAUUUAUUUAAACCAAAAUUAUAGCCAACGGUUAGCUUGAUGUUCAGUUGUAUACAAACUGCAAAAUUGUUGAUUUACUUGAAUGUUUAUCUAUUAUCUUUAUCAGGGUGCAGUAUCAAUGGGUUCACAGGGGUUUUUACGAGGGCUAAACAUAAUAAAAAGACACCGUUAAGAAGUGUAUUUUUGCAAAUCUCCUAAAGUAUUAUAAUAUGUUUGCAAAAAUCUUAAGUGCAUAUAAUACAGUUGUUCGUGCAGAUUUUUGUCGAUAUCUUUAGACAUAAGAAUACGUUACUGAAUACGUCUGAAAUCGGUGCCAACAUUUAACGUUGCGUGCAGCAUAUAACCGUGUAUAUGAAUGUUGAACACAUCGACUUUUUGGCCAUCACCACAUGCUUAUUGAAUAAAGUACUUCUGAUGAUUUUCAUAUUGUCAUAAGCCGCAUAAAAACUGUCGUUUAUGCAAUAGUUAAUAUUCUUCAGAAAAAUUGCUGUAAACAGUUAUUUGAAUAAAGCACCACUUGCCGGUGUGUUAACAUCCAUUAACAUCCAUUUGUGAACCCCAUAAAGUCGCGUGAUCCUGCAUCCAGAGUAUUGUUUGCUUGUUAAGCCGAGUAUUCUUUAAUAGAGAACCACUGACCAAUCCCAUUCACCAAUUAUGUAUACCUAUACAUAUUUAUAUUUUUGUUAUCCCUUUAAUUAUCUUUUAAACCUGUAUCCGGUUAAUUUGUCCCGAUUGUCACAUAAACAGUAUCUUUUUCUUUUACAUUAAAACAUGUAUAAGUUAAGGUUCAUAACAAAACAAUUCAUAACCUAAAUUAAAAAAAAAAAAAAACAACAUCACAUGGAUGCAGCUGGUUCCAGUCAAAUCUCUGCGCGGGGGUUGGGUGUUGUAGUUGUCAGUAUGAUAAACUCAUACCUAACAAUUUUAUUUGGCUUCGCUGUUUUGUAUAUAUUUAAUAUGUAUUGAUGUCCCUUUGAAUGUCCUG